AAGGACCCCCCACAAAACAACGAAAUACGUUAUUCGUUUUUGUUCCACUUUUUACGCGAAUGGCUAACAAUGCGAAACCAUGCACAUCUCCAUCAUAGGGCAAAUAAGUUGCACAUUUACUUUCAAGCAAAUAAAGUCCUUGAUGAGAGCUCCGACUUCAAUCGAAAGAUUCCGACUGCAUUAAGUCCUACAAGGAUCAGACAAGUGAGACAUUUGGAGCUUGGCUUCGAAUCAAAAUCUCGUGCUGGACGCCAGACCAGCGUGGCAUUGGAAACGGACUCUUUUCAGUAUUGAUGGAGGUCUAACAGCACAGCGGACGCUAUGUCCACACCAGCGACCCAGACACAGUCCCACUGGGAUGUGGUGCACGUCUUUAGAGGUAGACAGAACAAGCUGUUGGAUCUGGGGAGAGACGUGCAGAACGCAAUGUGGAAAUGCAAUUUCCUCUCUGAGCGGAAAACUCAGCGAUGUCUGUUACAGGACACCUCCAUGUUGGCACACGGCCUACAUGCCAAGUAGACGGUCUUGAAAUCCUUCCAAGUCUUUUACCAAUGUCUAGGUUUUUCACACACCGCUGACCUGGGUUCUCCGCGGUCGAAGCUGCUUGUACUUUGAUGAGUGGAACAGAUGUUGAUCUACCUUCCGACUAGGCCUGCUCAGGGUUUACUUCAUGGACGACCAACACCAGUAAAAAAAAAGUAUUUACUACUUAUAAGUAGCGCAGUAAUAUUAGUGGGCCUAUUAAAAGUUAAUUGAUUGAAAAGAUGUUACAGUUCUUACCAUGUAGGCGCUGGUCCUCUUAUUUGAUCAGUUGAGCGUCUACCGGUUUCCUUUCCUUUCCAUUUGCGCCACCCAGUGCGAGAAUACGGUACAAAAACUCCAAACUCCAAACAAUGAUAUUCAAAACUAGUUUUUUUUUUAAUGAUCUUUAAGGUCAUGCAAAAACAUUCACAACUACGUCGAGUCUUGGCAGUGUUCAGAAAAAAAUAGAUAUUCCUUAUCCCAUCAUUCUGGUAGAUAAUCCUCAUUCUGUGUCCGACCUAUGAAAAUAACUCUUGUUGAAGUCCGCUAAACUCUUCUCUGAAGAUAGAGUUAUAACGUGAGAACUCAUCCCAUAGACAUAACAUUACAUACAAUGAGCAUCAGACUGAAAUAUUGAUAAAGUAUACCAAGUAUUUAAGAUGAUAGCCUACAUAAAUAGAAUGACCCAAGGAUGAUUAAAAUCACAUUGAAAGAUUAAAAUUACAUUGAUGAAACAAAACCCACAAAGAUGAUUUGUUACAAUAAUACAUCUCAAAACGUUAAGAGGGGAAAAAAACACCAAAGAGAAAAAUUAUAAUCGCAAAGGAGCCGGAAUAACAUUAUUAAAGAAACAUCCGACGCUAACGUUAUUACAAAUUGAAUUUCCCCCUGGAGGACAGAAACUAUAACGAAUAAAAGCAAACUAUGUGUCUGGUCAGUUCAUCAUUCUUAAAAA